rnacentral:rRNA from 1 species
UGGGGAAUUUUGGACAAUGGUCGAAAGCCUGAUCCAGCAAUGCCGCGUGUGUGAAGAAGGCCUUCGGGUUGUAACUCACUUUUUUCCGGAAAGAAAUGGCUCUGGUUAAUACUUGGGGUCGAUGCCGGUACCGGAAGAAUACGCACCGGCUCACCACGUGCCCGCAGCCGCGGUAAUACGUAGUGUCCAAGCGUUAAUCGGAAUUACUGGGCGUAAAGCGUGCGCAGGCGGUUGUGCAAGACCGAUGUGAAAUCCCCGGGCUUAACUUGGGAAUUGCAUUGGUGACUGCACGGCUAGAGUGUGUCAGAGGGGGGUAGAAUUCCACGUGUGGCAGUGAAAUGCGUAGAGAUGUGGAGGAAUACCGAUGGCGAAGGCAGCCCCCUGGGAUAACACUGACGCUCAUGCACGAAAGCGUGGGGAGCAAACAGG